CAAAGUCCAGGCAUGUCUGGGCUUGUCUCCUGAGCGUUGGGGCACCAAUCUAUCCGGGCCUAUUUGCAUAACGAUAAUGAAGAGUCCCCACAGUAUAGAGUUAAUUCUAAGGGAGGAAAGAACCACACAAGUGUAGUGUGAUCUUGCGGUAGGGGAAAGAGGAGAAGAGUCUGCCCCCGAUCUGCCGGCACAGAUUUUUUUAACAUUCUCUGGGUCUUCUGUGAUCCCAGUGGAGAACAGAUAGAAUGUGAGGAAAAAUCAGUGGAUCGGUUUUCAUUAAGGCUGAAGGAUUCUGCCACCUUCUCCUGAACCCAUGCUGGGGGAGGUCUCACUGUCUGAUGGCUUUAAGUCUCACACAUUUUAAAUCCUCAAGGGCUGUGCCCUUGGACGAUGAUACCCUCGCCGAGGAACUGAUACCACCACAGUUUGACUGGGGUGAUGGAUUUUGAGAGGAAGAACCCAGAGGUGAAAUGUCCUUCUCAUCCUCUCAUAUUGGAAGUGUGUGGUGUUGCAGUGUCUUAUCACUGCUGAUGUCGGUCUCGGUCACCUGGCUGAGGAGGAGCCACACCUUGCACAUGGAUACACUUUACUACACCAGCAGGAGGAAGGAAGUUUUCCUCCUACCUUGGCAGCAGUGAAACUGAUGGGAGACUCACAGCUCACCUAACGAGAAGCCAUUAUACUUCAGCCUCCCAGGUUACUCCAGUGGACUCUUUGUUUAUGCCAACAUUCCCAAUUUCCUGCUUUCCUCUAUAAAGAGCAAUCCUUUCCUUUGUGUGGCAGACAUGCCUAUAGUUUUGCGAUAGCUUGCUUGCUGUGGAUUGAAGUUUUCUGCUAUU